AGAGGAUGCGAGGGUAUAUAAACGACCCUGCAGCAUCCAGGUCUUAUCACAUCUAGCCCCCGUACAACUUGGGAAAAGCAGUUCCUCGACUUCUACAUCCAUACUCAACAUGAAGGCUGUUGUCCUCCUGAUGUUGUGCGCCGUCGUGGCCAUGAGCUCCGCCACCUUCGCCCCUGCCAUCUACAACCCUCUCUUGUACAAGUUUGGUGGUCUUGGCCUGGGAUUGGGUGGUGGCCUGGGAUUCGGUGGUCUUGGAUUUGGUGGACUUGGCUUUGGCGGUCUGGGACUCGGCCUCGGUAGGUUUGGUCUACUGGGCGGUGGUUUGUACGGAGGCUUUCCUUUCCUUGGAGGCUUGAAGGGCGGCCUGUACUACUGAGCAGUUGGGCUCUGACAGGUAUCAGAAUAACCUCUUUCAUCCAUUAGUAGCUACGAUCCUUAAUUUUGUAAUUUUGAAAAUAAAAAAUGAUUUAUAAAA